rnacentral:hammerhead_ribozyme from 1 species
AUCUGGCUAACGAGUCCCAAACAGGAUGAAACGUGCGACCUGGAU